GACGAACGCUGGCGGCGUGCUUAACACAUGCAAGUCGAACGGAAAGGCCCUUCUUUUGUUGGGUGCUCUAGUGGCGAACGGGUGAGUAACACGUGAGUACCCUGCCCUUGACUUUCUGAUAACUUCAGGACACUGGGGCUAAUUCCUGUUAGGUGCUCCUUCUGCAUGGUGUCUUUUGGAUAUUUUCGGCGGUUGGGUUUGGACUCGCGGCUUAUCAGCUUGGUUGUUGGGUGGUGUCUUGACAAGGCUUUGAUGGGUAGCCGGCCUGAGAGGGUGACCGGAGACAUGGGGACGGAGAUAAGGCCAAGACGCCGAAGGGAGGAAGAAGUGGUGAAUAUUGCACAAUGGGAGGAAGGCUGAGGCAGCAACGAAGGGUGUGGGAUGAGGGACUUAGGGUUGUAAACCGCGUAAGCCUGGGACGAAGGGGGAGUGACGGUAAUGGGUAAAGAAGCACCGGCUAACUACGUG
rnacentral:rRNA from 1 species